rnacentral:rRNA from 1 species
GCUCGUAGUCGGAUUUCGGGGCGGGCCGAGCGGUCUGCCGAUGGGUAUGCACUGUUCGGCGCGUCCUUCUUUCCGGAGACCGCGCCUACUCUUAGCUGAGCGGGCGCGGGAGACGGAUCGUUUACUUUGAAAAAAUCAGAGUGUUUCAAGCAGGCAGCUCGCUCUUGCAUGGAUUAGCAUGGGAUAAUGAAAUAGGACUCUGGUGCUAUUUUGUUGGUUUCGAACACCGGAGUAAUGAUUAACAGGGACAGUCAGGGGCACUCGUAUUCCGUCGAGAGAGGUGAAAUUCUCAGACCAAUGGAAGACGAACCACUGCGAAAGCAUUUGCCAGGGAUGUUUUCACUGAUCAAGAACGAAAGUUAGGGGAUCGAAGACGAUCAGAUACCGUCGUAGUCUUAACCAUAAACCAUGCCGACUAGGGAUUGGAGGGUGUUCUAUUUGACCUCUUCAGCACCUUACGGGAAACUAAAGUCUUUGGGUUCCGGGGGGAGUAUGGUCG